GUUGGAGUGGACCUCGGUGCAGACCUCAGGGAAUGGUCGCGCUUUUAUCUCUCCACUCGUCAAGAGUGACUUGAGUAUUUCACUUCACUUACAAGGUAACAAGUGUAUGUAUGGUUUCUGGAGGAGAAGUGAGUGUAGAUCCUGGCACCCUGUCAGCAGAGUUGCGUCCAUGGCGAGGUCUGUUGGUUGUUGGGACUUGGCAUGGUACACUUCAUCUAGUUGACUUUGCAUUAGACUUGGGAGGCCACAAGGAUUUUGUCUGAUGAAGUUUCCCCAGGAACUUUGGUGAAUAUAACUAUCCCAGAUGCCCAGGCAGAGAGUUCUCGGUUCAGUGCGGUGAUGCAGAAUUGCCAUCCUACUGUGUGUUUGAGUGAUGGCAUGAGUCAAAACGGCCGCUUUCAGCUCAUUGGACCCGAUGACAAUGUGCUCUUUGAAACAGCAAGUCAAUGUGUGGUAGUUACUGCCAUGUCCUUCAUCCCACAGCUUGCCUCACUUGUAAUAGGAUAUAGUUUUGGGGCUUUCCAGAUAAUCAACCUGUCAACUCUGAC
rnacentral:lncRNA from 1 species